GAUGAACGCUGGCGGCGUGCCUAAUACAUGCAAGUCGAGCGAACAGAUGAGGAGCUUGCUCCUCUGACGUUAGCGGCGGACGGGUGAGUAACACGUGGAUAACCUACCUAUAAGACUGGGAUAACUUCGGGAAACCGGAGCUAAUACCGGAUAAUAUAUUGAACCGCAUGGUUCAAUAGUGAAAGACGGUUUUGCUGUCACUUAUAGAUGGAUCCGCGCCGCAUUAGCUAGUUGGCAAGGUAACGGCUUACCAAGGCAACGAUGCGUAGCCGACCUGAGAGGGUGAUCGGCCACACUGGAACUGAGACACGGUCCAGACUCCUACGGGAGGCAGCAGUAGGGAAUCUUCCGCAAUGGGCGAAAGCCUGACGGAGCAACGCCGCGUGAGUGAUGAAGGUCUUCGGAUCGUAAAACUCUGUUAUUAGGGAAGAACAAAUGUGUAAGUAACUAUGCACGUCUUGACGGUACCUAAUCAGAAAGCCACGGCUAACUACGUG
rnacentral:rRNA from 1 species